rnacentral:rRNA from 1 species
CCUACGGGAGGCAGCAGUGAGGAAUAUUGGUCAAUGGACGAGAGUCUGAACCAGCCAAGUAGCGUGAAGGAUGACUGCCCUAUGGGUUGUAAACUUCUUUUAUAUGGGAAUAAAACGUUCAACGUGUGGGAUUUUGUAUGUACCAUAUGAAUAAGGAUCGGCUAACUCCGUGCCAGCAGCCGCUGUAAUACGGAGGAUCCGAGCGUUAUCCGGAUUUAUUGGGUUUAAAGGGAGCGUAGGUGGAUUGUUAAGUCAGUUGUGAAAGUUUGCGGCUCAACCGUAAAAUUGCAGUUGAAACUGGCAGUCUUGAGUACAGUAGAGGUGGGCGGAAUUCGUAGUGUAGCGGUGAAAUGCUUAGAUAUCACGAAGAACUCCGAUUGCGAAGGCAGUUCACUGGACUGCAACUGACACUGAGGCUCGAAAGUGUGGGUAUCAAACAGGAUUAGAUACCCUUGUAGUC